GGACAACAGCGCCAUGGUCACCGCGGCCAUCAGCAGCAACAGGAAGCUCUACCAGCUCAUCACCCGCUGCCACCUCACUUAUCGCACCCUGAUAAUCACACGCCACCACCUCAUGCUCACUUGCCAUCCCCUACUCACUACUUACCACCACCCCUAUCUCAGCACACACCACCACCUCCGACACAACAUACACCAUCACCUCACUUACCAUCUCCUGCUCAUCACGCGCCACCACCUCCAUGUCACCCGACACUACCUCCUUACUUGCCAUCCCCUGCGCACAACUCAGCACCGCCCCCAACUCACUACACACCGCCUCAUCACCUGCCAUUCCCGUCGCCACCUCCGGCUCAACACGCACCACCAUCUCACUUAUCAUCUCCACCGCCACCUUCGGCGCAACACAUACCACCACCUCACUUACAGUCCCCACCGCCACCUCCGGCUCAACACGCACCACCGCCUCACUUACACUCUCCACCACCGCCUACGGCUCAACACCAACCACCGUCUCACUUACCGUCCCCACCGCCACCUACGGCUCAACACACACCACCGCCUC
rnacentral:lncRNA from 1 species